rnacentral:tRNA from 1 species
UGCGAGAUGGUGUAACGGUAGCACAUUUCCCUUUCAAGGUACUCACAUUGUUGAAUAUCUUGAAAGGAAAAAAUAUGGGUUCGAUCCCCAUUCUCGCAG